GGGUGGAUACCAAAGUGGUUAAAUGGACUAGACUGUAAAUCUAGUGGCCAACGCCUUCGUAGGUUCGAAUCCUACUCCACCCA
rnacentral:tRNA from 1 species